AACGACUCUCGGCAACGGAUAUCUCGGCUCUUGCAUCGAUGAAGAACGCAGCAAAAUGCGAUACUUGGUGUGAAUUGCAGAAUCCCGUGAAUCAUCGAGUUUUUGAACGCAAGUUGCGCCCGAAGCCUUUUGGCCGAGGGCACGUCUGCCUGGGUGUCACGC
rnacentral:rRNA from 1 species